rnacentral:lncRNA from 1 species
CAUACUAUAAACCCACCUGCACCCAUCCCUUUUAAUUUUCUAUUCCUCUAUUUUCCCAGCUCCCCACGCCUUUCCCAACCUCUUUGUAUUUCCCUUCACAGUAAAUUCUUGAUCUUUCUUCUAAAGGUCAAACCUUUGAACUUCAAACCCCCCCACCCCAAAAAGAAAACAUGACAAACUACGGCACAAUCCCGACUUCAUCGACGGCAGGACCCUCGGCGAACAUCGAAUACCUAUCUCGAGCCAAGGAACGUAUCAAAGAAGGGCUUGGAGCUCGGCGUCCAUGGAAACUUAUGUUCA